rnacentral:rRNA from 1 species
GACGAGGGCGCGAGCGUUGUCCGGAUUUAUUGGGCGUAAAGAGCUCGUAGGCGGCUUGUUGCGUCAGCUGUGAAAACCCGCAGCUCAACUGUGGGCUUGCAGCUGAUACGGGCAGGCUUGAGUUCGGUAGGGGAGACUGGAAUUCCUGGUGUAGCGGUGAAAUGCGCAGAUAUCAGGAGGAACACCGGUGGCGAAGGCGGGUCUCUGGGCCGUUACUGACGCUGGAGGAG